GCGGCCACGCCCUCACCUCCAUCUCCAUGUCUCCUUAGGUGACGGGGAGGUACCUCUCACAGGCCCGCGAGCAUCGGCGCCCCCUGUCGCUCCGCAGGUGUCUGAAGCUCUCUGGCUCCAUGCCCCAUCUCUGAAGACCAGCUGUGAAUAUGUGAGUCUCUACCACAAGCCUGCUGCCAAAGUGGAGGACACUGAUUCAGAUGACUAUGUCAAUAUUCCCUGCCUGACUCACCUAUCCAGCUGUCCCCCGGGACCCAGACCUUGGUGCCAAUGAGUCCUGUCUAGCUGCUGGUUUCCGAUACUUGCUCUGUUUUCAGAGUCCUCAUUACCUCUCACACCAACCUCAAGUCUCAUUCCUGUCUCUCCUGAGAAUAGCUCAGUAACCCCUUGCAGCUCUUCUUGCACACCUCUACAGCCCCCUGUGGUUUUCAAGUGGGCUCUGGGCAUGCAGAGCAUUUGUCCCAGCGCCACCUGCUUCUUCUCCAAGCCAUGGGAUUUGCAGAGUGUCUGAUCACAGGCUCCUCGCUGCCCUGGCUCUAGACUCAUGGCAUCAGGCUGGAGCAUAGACAUAGGUGUUGCUUCAGGAGACUUUCUCAGGCAUGGGCGUCACACCAAUAGAAGGCCCCUGGACCUUCUAACGAAGAUAUGAAAUGCCCCUGGCAACAUCUUUGCCCUGAUCUUGAGGCUGGCUCUCACUAGUGCGCUUCUAUUCAUCUUGAGUCCUAUGGUAAGGACAUUUUUUUUAUAUGAUGAAAGGUUGUAAAUUUUCAGAACCAUGCUUGUUAGUGUUAGUGAUUAUAUGUAUAUAUUCCUAAAUCCUCUAUACAGUCUCCCUCGCUUGAUGUGCAUAAGUACAUUGACCCCAGUGUCUCCCCUCUUUUAAAAAUAGGAUAGCUUGUAUCAUCUCCUUAUCUUCCUUCCAUGGCUUAGCACUGAUAUUUGUGCACUUAAUGUUGGUCUGUUUUGACCAUCCCAAACCGUUACAUCUGUCUGCGUUCAGAAAUGCCCCCUCAUCUCUGCCAGGUAACUUCUGGCAAUGUAGGGGAGGAAAGUGGCUUCUUGGAGGGCCAGGUGUUCUGCAAUAGCACUUAUGUCAUGAAAGGAGAGAUAUCCCCCCUCCUACAUACACCUUCUCUUAAAUUUUCUGGGCAAGGGCAUAGGCAGAUGUUACAUCUUUGGACUGAAGUCAACUACAAAGUUCAGCCGUAGCUUGAGACUAAAGAACACCCAGUCUUGCUAUUCAGAAGAAGACCUUUCCCGGAUGCAUAACUCAGCCUUACUGGGGACUUGCCCACACUUAGGAAGAAGAGGCUGCCAGAAUUGAUUUCCCUGCUUCUUAUUAGCAGGGAGUGUCAUUGAAGAUUGGACAGUAGUAUGAUGACACCGUUAGCAGUGUCAGCUUGACAACGGCACCCUCUCCAGCGGCAGAUAAGAAUGAGUAGUAUAAGAAAGGAGGGCCCCCAAGGAGAAGGGAUGGUAAGAAUAGGAGGGGGAGAAAUGAAAUGUGUAGUGAGCCUGCUUUGUGCUGGGCACUUAACCUUCAUCGUAUCUUCUAUCAUUUACAUUCCAAACUGAUGCCAUCGCCUCCACCCCAAUGCUGUGCUCCUGCAGAUCUCAUGGCAAUAUGGUUUCUAUGCCCUGAAGUGCAACUUCAUAUUCCAGCACCCCUCAUUGUUCCUCAAUCAUUCAAAGACAGACAAAAAAUCCAGUUUAUUAAGCAUUUACUGAGCACUCAUCCACUGCCCCACACCAGAUGUCAAGCAUUGUGGAGGAUAAAAAAGAAGCAUGGGGCACUGUCCCUGCUGCCUACACAGAACUUACAGUCUGACAAAUAAAUAUGGCAUCAGUUAAAACACUGACAGGAAUUAAAUAGAGUUGUAAUAAAUACAGAAAUCUACUUUGUAGAUUAUUCACAGCA